UUUUCGCCACAGGUGUUCCUCCUGAUAUCUGCGCAUUUCACCGCUACACCAGGAAUUCCAGUCUCCCCUGCCGAACUCAAGUGAUGCCCGUAUCGACCGCACGCUCAGGGUUGAGCCCCAAGUUUUCACGACCGACGCGACACACCGCCUACGAGCUCUUUACGCCCAAUAAUUCCGGACAACGCUCGCACCCUACGUAUUACCGCGGCUGCUGGCACGUAGUUGGCCGGUGCUUCUUCUACCGGUACCGUCAGUCACCCUUCGUCCCGGUCGAAAGAGGUUUACAACCCGAAGGCCGUCAUCCCCCACGCGGCGUCGCUGCGUCAGGCUUUCGCCCAUUGCGCAAUAUUCCCCACUGCUGCACCCCAUAGGGU
rnacentral:misc_RNA from 1 species